AGUGAACGCUGGCGGUAGGCCUAACACAUGCAAGUCGAACGGCAGCACAGUAAGAGCUUGCUCUUACGGGUGGCGAGUGGCGGACGGGUGAGGAAUACAUCGGAAUCUACUUUUUCGUGGGGGAUAACGUAGGGAAACUUACGCUAAUACCGCAUACGACCUACGGGGGAAAGCAGGGGAUCUUCGGACCUUGCGCGAGUGAAGGAGCCGAUGUCGGAUUAGCUAGUUGGCGGGGUAAAGGCCCACCAAGGCGACGAUCCGUAGCUGGUCUGAGAGGAUGAUCAGCCACACUGGAACUGAGACACGGUCCAGACUCCUACGGGAGGCAGCAGUGGGGAAUAUUGGACAAUGGGCGCAAGCCUGAUCCAGCCAUACCGCGUGGGUGAAGAAGGCCUUCGGGUUGUAAAGCCCUUUUGUUGGGAAAGAAAAGCAGCAGGUUAAUACCCCGCUGUUCUGACGGUACCCAAAGAAUAAGCACCGGCUAACUUCGUG
rnacentral:rRNA from 1 species